rnacentral:lncRNA from 1 species
AUCUGUCCUCUGACCUCCACGCCCACGGAUGGCCUGCCUCUCUCCCCGACAUAUAAAAAGAGUACCAUUAAUGCACACCACCAAAACUAACCAUGACAGAGAAGUCUUAAAGAGAGCCAAGAAAGCCCAAUGGGAAACAGCUGUUUGGCAACACCAAAGUCAACCAAGGUACCAAGCCAGGAUCAUGUCACCAGCGUACAGUCUGGGCCGAGGAUGGAUUCAGCAUUAAGUUAUAAGCUGAGCGAAGGUUCGUUUCCUUUAUAAACAAGCAGACAUGGCUGUGUUCCAAUAAAGUUCGAUUUACA